UGGGGGAUAUUGGACAAUGGGCGCAAGCCUGAUCCAGCCAUGCCGCGUGAGUGAUGAAGGCCUUAGGGUUGUAAAGCUCUUUUGUCCGGGAAGAUAAUGACCGUACCGGAAGAAUAAGCUCCGGCUAACUUCGUGCCAGCAGCCGCGGUAAUACGAAGGGAGCUAGCGUUGUCCGGAAUUACUGGGCGUAAAGCGCAUGCAGGCGGAUCGUUAAGUCGAGGGUGAAAUCCCAGGGCUCAACCCUGGAACUGCCUUCGAUACUGGCGACCUUGAGUCCGGGAGAGGUGAGUGGAACUCCGAGUGUAGAGGUGAAAUUCGUAGAUAUUCGGAAGAACACCAGUGGCGAAGGCGGCUCACUGGCCCGGUACUGACGCUGAGAUGCGAAAGCGUGGGGAGCAAACA
rnacentral:rRNA from 1 species